AUGACCUUCACGGGCAGUGGCGAUGGCCAGAGCGGCUCCAUGAGGGCGCACUUUGUGCUGGUACCGAUGUUGGCUCAGGGGCACACCAUCCCCAUCACCGACAUGGCGCGCCUGCUGGCAGAGCACGGAGCGCAUGUCAGCUUCAUCACCACGCCAGUGAACGCCUCCAGGUUGGCAGGCUUUGCAGCCGAUGUGGAGGCGUCGGGCCUGGAAGUUCGGCUCAUGGAGCUCCAUUUCCCGAGCGCCGAGUUCGGCCUACCGGACGGGUGCGAGAACCUAGACAUGAUCCAAUCCACGGAUCUUCUCCCCAACUUCAUGUAUGCCAUCGCUAUGCUUCAGGAGCCGCUCAAGGCAUACCUCCAUGAGCAGCAGUGCUCGCCUCCGAGCUGCAUCAUAUCUGACCUGAUUCACUGGUGGACUGGUGACAUCGCGAGGGAGCUUGGUAUCCCGAGGCUGACCUUUAGUGGCUUCUGUGGCUUCUCGUCCCUCAUCAGGUACAUCACUUUUCACAAUAAUGUAUUUGAAAAUGUCAAAGACGAAAAUGAGCUCAUCACGAUCAGGCGUUUCCCUACACCACUAGAGCUGACGAAGGCUAAAUGCCCGGGAAAUCUUUCCAUUCCUGGUAUGGAGCAAAUCCGUAAGAAGUUCCUUGAAGAGGAGCUGAGAAGUGAUGGUCAGGUCAUUAACAGCUUCCAAGAACUGGAGACAUUGUACAUUGAAUCCUUUGAGCAGACCACAAAGAAGAAGGUCUGGGCAAUUGGACCAAUGUGCCUCUGCCACCAAGACAACAACACUAUGGCCGCAAGAGGAAACAAGACGUCAAUGGGUGAGGCCCAGUACUUGCAAUGGCUUGAUUCAAUGAAGCCAGGCUCAGUGGUCUUUGUGAGCUUUGGCAGCCUCGCUUGCACUACACCUCAACAGCUUGUUGAGCUGAGACUGGGACUUGAAGCCUCCAGGAAACCAUUUAUUUGGGUGAUCGAAGCAGGAGCUAAGCUUCCAGAAGUUAAGGAAUGGCUCGCAGACGAGUUCGAGGAGCGUGUCAAAAAUAGAGGCAUGGUCAUAAGGGGUUGGGCACCACAGCUCAUGAUCCUGCGGCACCAAGCCGUUGGGGGAUUCGUGACGCACUGCGGGAGGAACUCAACAAUAGAGGGCAUCUGUGCAGGUGUUCCCAUGAUCACAUGGCCACACUUUGGGGAGCAGUUUUGGAAUCAGAAGCUAGUGGUGGAUGUGCUGAAAAUCAGGGUGGAGGUUGGAGUGAAAGGAGUUACACAGUGGGGAAGUGAAAAACAGGAGGUUAUGGUUACAAUUACAAGAGAUGAGGUGGAGAAAGCUGUGAACACCCUGAUGGAUGAGGGGGGCGGCUGCAGAAGAGACGAGGUGAGAGCAAAAGACUGCGCCAUUAAGGCAAGGAAGGCUUUUGAUGAGGGAGGUCCUUCACAUGACAACAUAAGGCUAUUAAUUCAAGAAACGGGAAACAAGACAAAUGCAUGUGGUUGA
rnacentral:rRNA from 1 species